UACGUAGGGACCAAGCGUUGUUCGGAUUUACUGGGCGUAAAGGGCGCGUAGGCGGCAAUUCAAGUCAGUUGUGAAAUCUCCGAGCUUAACUCGGAACGGUCAACUGAUACUGUUUUGCUAGAGUGCAGAAAGGGCAACCGGAAUUCUUGGUGUAGCGGUGAAAUGCGUAGAUAUCUGGAGGAAUACCGGUGGCGAAGGCGGCAUCCUGGACCGACAUUGACGCUGAUGAGCGAAAGCUAGGGGAGCAAACGGGG
rnacentral:rRNA from 1 species